GUGGGGAAUAUUGGACAAUGGGCGCAAGCCUGAUCCAGCAACGCCGCGUGAGGGAUGACGGCCUUCGGGUUGUAAACCUCUUUCAGCAGGGACGAAGCGAAAGUGACGGUACCUGCAGAAGAAGGACCGGCCAACUACGUGCCAGCAGCCGCGGUAAUACGUAGGGUCCGAGCGUUGUCCGGAAUUAUUGGGCGUAAAGGGCUCGUAGGCGGUCUGUCGCGUCGGGAGUGAAAACUCAGGGCUAAACCCUGAGCGUGCUUCCGAUACGGGCAGACUAGAGGUAUGCAGGGGAGAACGGAAUUCCUGGUGUAGCGGUGGAAUGCGCAGAUAUCAGGAGGAACACCGGUGGCGAAGGCGGUUCUCUGGGCAUUACCUGACGCUGAGGAGCGAAAGCAUGGGGAGCGAACAGGAUUAGAUACCCCAGUAGUCC
rnacentral:rRNA from 1 species